rnacentral:rRNA from 1 species
UACGAAGGGUACAAGCGUUGUUCGGAAUUACUGGGCGUAAAGCGCGCGUAGGCGGACGCGUAAGUCGAUUGUGAAAGCCCUGGGCUUAACCUGGGAACUGCAGUCGAAACUGCGUGUCUUGAGUGCCUGAGAGGAUGGCGGAAUUCCCGGUGUAGUAGUGAAAUACGUAGAUAUCGGGAAGAACACCUGAGGCGAAGGCGGCUAUCUGGCGGUGCACUGACGCUGAGGCGCGAAAGCGUGGGGAGCAAACAGG